rnacentral:tRNA from 1 species
CGGGACGUGGCGCAGUUUGGUAGCGCACUUGCUUUGGGAGCAAGAUGUCGCAGGUUCAAAUCCUGUCGUCCCGACCA